ACUCUAGUCCGACGUUGUGAAAUGACUUAUGAGGUGUAGAAUAAGUGGGAGCUUCGGCGCACAUGAAAUACCACUACUCGUAAUGUUGUUUUACUUAUUCCGUGACGUAGCAUCCAGUGCCUUCGCGGGCCCUGGUUCUAGAUUGAAGCUGUUUCGUGCAGUGAGCUACGCGGGAGACAACGUCAGGUGGGGAGU
rnacentral:ncRNA from 1 species